GUAAGAGCACACGGAGGAUGCCUAGGCGCUAGGAGCCGAAGAAGGACGUGGCGAACAACGAUAUGCCCCGGGGAGUCGUAAGCAGACUUUGAUCCGGGGAUGUCCGAAUGGGGGAACCCGGCUGCGGUUAUGCGCAGUCACUCACUUCUGAAUCCAUAGGAAGUGAAGAGGCAGACCAGGGGAACUGAAACAUCUAAGUACCCUGAGGAGAAGAAAACAAUCGUGAUUCCGUCAGUAGCGGCGAGCGAAAGCGGAGGAGCCCAAACCAGAGAGCUUGCUCACUGGGGUUGUGGGACACCUUAUACGGAGUUACAAAGGAGCAGAUUAGGCGAAGAGGUCUGGAAAGGCCUGCCACAGAAGGUAACAGCCCUGUAGCUGAAAGUCUGCUCUCUCCAAGGUGGAUCCCGAGUACGGCGGGACACGGGAAACCCCGUCGGAAUCCGGCAGGACCAUCUGCCAAGGCUAAAUACUCCCUAGCGACCGAUAGUGAAGCAGUACCGUGAGGGAAAGGUGAAAAGCACCCCGGGAGGGGAGUGAAAGAGAACCUGAAACCGUGUGCUUACAAGAAGUCAGAGCCCUAUGAUUUUCUUCGGGAAAUCAGGGUGAUGGCGUGCCUUUUGUAGAAUGAACCGGCGAGUUACGCUUGCAUGCAAGGUUAAGGUGAAGAGCCGGAGCCGCAGCGAAAGCGAGUCUGAACAGGGCAAAGCAUAAGCUUACGAAGUAGCAAUACUUUGUAUUGCUUGGAAGUAUGCAGGCGUAGACCCGAAACCGUGUGAUCUACCCCUGUCCAGGGUGAAGGUGAGGUAACACUCACUGGAGGCCCGAACCCACGAAUGUUGAAAAAUUCGGGGAUGAGGUGGGGGUAGCGGAGAAAUUCCAAUCGAACUCGGAGAUAGCUGGUUCUCCCCGAAAUAGCUUUAGGGCUAGCCUCGGGUUAGAGUGAUGGAGGUAAAGCACUGAUUGGGUGCGGGGCCCGCCAAGGGUUACCAAGUCUAGUCAAACUCUGAAUGCCAUCCACUCGGUGCCCGGGAGUCAGACAGUGAGUGCUAAGAUCCAUUGUCAAGAGGGAAACAGCCCAGAUCAUCAGCUAAGGUCCCCAAGUGUGUGUUAAGUGGGAAAGGAUGUGGAGUUGCACAGACAACCAGGAUGUUGGCUUAGAAGCAGCCACCAUUUAAAGAGUGCGUAAUAGCUCACUGGUCGAGUGACUCUGCGCCGAAAAUGUAACGGGGCUAAA
rnacentral:rRNA from 1 species